GGAGUCUGGACCGUGUCUCAGUUCCAGUGUGGGGGACCUUCCUCUCAGAACCCCUAAGGAUCGACGGCUCGGUGGGCCGUUACCCCGCCGACUACCUAAUCCUACGCAUCCCCAUCCUGAGGCGAUCAAUCUUUCGUCACGCCCAGAUGCCUUUUCGUGACAACAUAGGGUAUUAAUCCGGUUUUCACCGGGCUGUCCCCUACCUCAGGGAAGGUUGGAUACGCGUUACUCACCCGUGCGCCGGUCGCCAUCGGAGAUAGCAAGCUACCUCCAUGCUGCCCCUCCGACUUGCAUGUGUUAAGCCUGUAGCUAGCGUUCAUCCUGAGCCACUGAUCAAACUCU
rnacentral:rRNA from 1 species